rnacentral:tRNA from 1 species
AUUUUUGUAGUUAAUUUAUAACGUAAGCUUUUCAUGCUUAAAUUCUUGGUGUGCAAGCAAAAAUU